rnacentral:SRP_RNA from 1 species
GCUGGGUGUGGUGGUGCACACCUGUAGUCCCAGCUACUCAGGAGGCUGAGGCAGGAGAAUCGCUUGAACCUGGGAGGUGGGGGUUGCAGUGAGCCAAGGUGGCGCCAAUGCACUCCAGCCUGGGUGACAGAGUGAGACUCUGUCUCAA